UACGGAGGGUGCAAGCGUUGUCCGGAAUCACUGGGCGUAAAGGGCGCGUAGGCGGCUCAUGAAGGCUGUGGUGAAAGUCCGGGGCUCAACCUCGGAUCGGCCGUGGCGACUCGUGGGCUGGAGCACUGUAGAGGCGGGUGGAAUUCCGGGUGUAGCGGUGGAAUGCGUAGAGAUCCGGAAGAACACCAGUGGCGAAGGCGGCCCGCUGGGCAGUGGCUGACGCUGAGGCGCGACAGCGUGGGGAACAAACAGG
rnacentral:rRNA from 1 species